rnacentral:misc_RNA from 1 species
ACCACCCCUACUGUUAACUCACACAGCUCAGUUCUGUUAAUUAUUGGAAAGUUUUUUUAAUGGAACAAUUUUAAUUAAAUUACAAAAGUUGUUUACCCGCUGCGGCAAUUGGACACCCAGAAAGUAAAAACCGAUUAUUGCUCGGGAACAGCAAUUGCAAAGACCCAGAAUCCGGGACAUCGGAGGCAGCGAGCCGCGACAAGGGAGUACACAAAGAGAGAUAGCCAGUGCAAAACCCGUUUCUUCCAACCGAUAAAAGGGGCGUCUAUAUCUCUGCCGAUCCGGAGCCCCUGGCAUUGCACCACUAUGAUGGUUGAGUCCGAUGGAACCGCCGACGCCACCCGCCGCCUGAACGUGAAGAAGCAAACGCUGGACGAUGCGUACGCCGUGCCCGCCAACUUCCUGGAAAUAGAUGUGGUUAAUCCGCUGACCACCAUGGCGGCGGGCAAGAAGCGCUACACGGACUACGAGGUCCGGAUGCGGACCAAUCUGCCCGUCUUCAAGGUUAAGGAGUCCAGUGUGAGGCGACGCUACAGCGACUUUGAGUGGCUGCGAAACGAACUGGAGCGGGACAGCAAGAUUGUGGUGCCACCGCUCCCAGGAAAGGCUUGGAAGCGGCAGAUGCCCUUCCGCGGCGACGAGGGCAUCUUCGACGAAAGCUUCAUCGAGGAGCGACGCAAGGGACUGGAGGCCUUCAUCAACAAGAUAGCCGGACAUCCGCUGGCGCAGAACGAGCGCUGCCUGCAUAUGUUCCUGCAGGAGAACGUCAUAGAUAAGAACUACGUACCCGGCAAGAUUCGCAACACAUAAGCAGCAUAAUCCGGCGCAAUCGAAACCCCAUAACCAUAGCAAUGCAAUGAAGCAAAAACUCGAACGAACAAACCCGCUACGAAAUCUUUAGGGAAACCAUGUGAAUGUGUGUGCUUGGUCAGAUUGGAGGAGUAUGGAGCAGAGGAGCGACGAUGUAGGUUGAAGUAGUAGGGAUCUGUUAUGCGACGCGACAAGAGGCGGGAAGUGCUGCUGCUCAGUUAAUGUUGAGCCCCUCUCACCCCCCGGGGAUUAGUUAAAAACCAGCAUUGGGAAUUUUUAAUGCUAAAUUCAAGUUUAUAUGUGUACAUAAGACAUGCCUACCACGCCCUCGCUAAAAGAGUCUCGAAAGUAGGAGCAGCCCCUCCCAUUUUCCCGAUCCUCAGUUUCUUCGUUCUGAACCAUUGCAGCGGUAAUGAAGCAGCAAAUAAAAUAAGGGAGCCAUCCUGACCCCAAAAUCCA